rnacentral:rRNA from 1 species
ACGGGGUGCAGCAGGCGCGAAAACUCCACAAUGUACGACAGUACGAUGGGGUUAUCUCGAGUGCAGUCCGAUAAGGGCUGCUUUUCCAUAGAGUAAUAUCCUGUGGGAAUAAGAGGGGGGCAAGACUGGUGUCAGCCGCCGCGGUAACACCAGCCCCUCGAGUGGUGGGGACUAUUAUUUGGCCUAAAGCGUCCGUAGCUGGCUGUAUCCGUCCCCCGUUAAAUCCAGCGUCCUAAGCGUUGGACUGCGGGUGAUACCAUACAGCUAGAGGGUGGGAUAGGUGAGCAAUGUUUCUGGGGUAGGGGCGAAAUCCUUUGAUCCCAGGAGGACCACCAGUGGCGAAGGCUGCUCACUAGAACACGCCUGACGGUCAGGGACGAAAGCUGGGGCAGCGAACCGGAUUAGAUACCCGGGUAGUCCCAGCUGUAAACGAUGCCAGCUAGGUGUUGGGUCGGCCACGCGCCGCCCCAGUGCCGCAGGGAAGCCGUUAAGCUGGCCGCCUGGGGAGUACGGCCGCAAGGCUGAAACUUAAAGGAAUUGGCGGGGGAGCAC